rnacentral:rRNA from 1 species
GACGAACGCUGGCGGCGUGCUUAACACAUGCAAGUCGAACGGAAAGGCCCUGCUUUUGUGGGGUGCUCGAGUGGCGAACGGGUGAGUAACACGUGAGUAACCUGCCCUUGACUUUGGGAUAACUUCAGGAAACUGGGGCUAAUACCGGAUAGGAGCUCCUGCUGCAUGGUGGGGGUUGGAAAGUUUCGGCGGUUGGGGAUGGACUCGCGGCUUAUCAGCUUGUUGGUGGGGUAGUGGCUUACCAAGGCUUUGACGGGUAGCCGGCCUGGGAGGGUGACCGGCACCAUGGGGAUGAGGGAAGGGCCAGGAUCCUACGGGAGGCAGCAGUGGGGAAUAUUGCACAAUGGGCGGAAGCCUGAUGCAGCAACGCCGCGUGCGGGAUGACGGCCUUCGGGUUGUAAACCGCUUUCGCCUGUGACGAAGCGUGAGUGACGGUAAUGGGUAAAGAAGCACCGGCUAACUACGUG